UCCUCUCUAGUCAAUUACAACUGUACAAGUAUCCGACCUCUACAGAUGGCCCACAUGAAGCCCCUUGGACCGAUCAGCCCUCUAUGGGAGUGCUAGCUCGCGCAGUCGGCUUCUGAUGGCAGAUCUGAUUUAAUCUCCUUCUUUGAUCAUCUCAAAUAUUUUUAAUAUUGAAGAUAGAUUAGAAGAGAAUACUGGAUGGUGCAGAAAAGUCAGAUGAAGACUCUCUUCUCUUUGGUUUUUUCUUCACCCAAAAAACUAGAACAGUUCUAGGUCUCUCACCCAAGAGGAGAACGGUCUCCUCUUUUGUUCACACCA
rnacentral:lncRNA from 1 species